AGCGAACGCUGGCGGCAGGCCUAACACAUGCAAGUCGAACGAACCUUUCGGGGUUAGUGGCGGACGGGUGAGUAACACGUGAGAACGUGCCUUUAGGUUCGGAAUAACUCAGGGAAACUUGUGCUAAUACCGAAUGUGCCCUUCGGGGGAAAGAUUAAUCGCCUUUAGAGCGGCCCGCGUCUGAUUAGCUAGUUGGUUGAGGUAAUGGCUCACCAAGGCGACGAUCAGUAGCUGGUCUGAGAGGAUGAUCAGCCACAUUGGGACUGAGACACGGCCCAAACUCCUACGGGAGGCAGCAGUGGGGAAUCUUGCGCAAUGGGAGAAAGCCUGACGCAGCCAUGCCGCGUGAAUGAUGAAGGUCUUAGGAUUGUAAAAUUCUUUCACCGGGGACGAUAAUGACGGUACCCGGAGAAGAAGCCCCGGCUAACUUCGUG
rnacentral:rRNA from 1 species